rnacentral:sRNA from 1 species
CCUANGGAGANNGAGGAANGGGANNNNNAAAGGAGGUAGAUGUGGGANAGUUUUUUCCCCAGGAAGGGUGGAAGAAAGGUUUAGGCAUGUAAGUAGAGUGAUAUUAUAUUUGAAAUAAAUUAUGAUAGUAAGGAAGGGGUUGGGGGAUUUUAUAGUGUAGAGGAUAAAGGGUGAGUAAUAUAUGGGUAAUCUAAAUUAGAGUUUGGAAUAAGAGAGAGAAAGGGUGGAUAAUAAUGAAUAAGAGUAAGGGAAGGUAUGUUUGUGAAGUAAAAGAUGGGGAUAUGUAAGGUUUUAUUAUUUGUUGAUGAAGUCGUGAUAUAUCAGCUAAUUGGAGAGGUAACGGCCCACCAAGGCUUUAUUACGGAAGCUGGUCUCAGAGGAUGGUCAACCACAUUGGGACUGACAACCUGCACAGACUCCUACCAGGAGGCCACACUGGG